UAGAGGUCGACAAGAGGUCGUGGCGUGUUAAUGGCAAUAAUUAUUCGUGAAAAGGAAAAUUGAAAAAGAUUAGGAGGUCCAGAAAUUUUUAAAUAUUCAAGUUCAGAAAUGUAGAAAUUAUUAUGUCAUAUUACCACGUGACAGAACGCCAUGCAUUGUGCGUCAGUGUGAUCUGUACUAUACGAUUUACCAGAAGAUAAAGGAAUGUAAGAUUAUUGCAACGGUGGCCAUAUAAGGAGAGUCUACAGUAUUAGUAACCAUCGAAACGUGUCCAGAAGAGAAAGGCUUUCUUUCUAGAAGGUACAGGACGAAUCUCACAAAAUUGUACUGAUAUUGGUGGAGUGAAUUUGUAAUGAAAUUAGGACAACAAAAUUUACAAUGUAAUAUUGGCAAAGUGAAUUUGUAAUGAAAUUAGGACAACGAAAGUAGGGCAACUACCCGCUGCACUAAUUGCGUCCCCGCCAUCUUUCUUUCGAAAUUUGGUUUUGGAUGUUUCUCAAGUUUUUGCGUCUCGGAAGAUGCGAAGCUUUUCUGAAAAAACGUCCUACAUCUGCGGGUCAAAUAUUGACAAUAGAAGAUGAUGCACCCAGGGACGAAUGUACGAGGGGACAAUAUUAUUUUCUUAAAAUGCAUGCGACAAAAGAAAAUUUUGCCUUUAGUAUAUGACUAGUAACCUUGAAGCAAUAAUGUGCACAGAUGUAGUCAAGUGUGAUUGCAAAUGGCUGUACACGUCAGAGAAGUGUAGAAUAUUGCAAAAAAUCACGAAGUCUGUUGUAUGGUACAAUUUCUCUGUAGAUAUACAGAGAAGGGUAUGUGGGUCAAGAUAUUUUUCUUGAUGAGUUUUUAUCAUUUUUAGAGAAAUAGAAAUUGUAAUUUGAAGAACUUGGAUGAGUAAAAAUUGUUAAUUGAAAAA